rnacentral:rRNA from 1 species
GACGAACGCUGGCGGCGUGCCUAAUACAUGCAAGUUGAGCGAUGAAGAUUGGUGCUUGCACCAAUUUGAAGAGCAGCGAACGGGUGAGUAACGCGUGGGGAAUCUGCCUUUGAGCGGGGGACAACAUUUGGAAACGAAUGCUAAUACCGCAUAACAACUUUAAACAUAAGUUUUAAGUUUGAAAGAUGCAAUUGCAUCACUCAAAGAUGAUCCCGCGUUGUAUUAGCUAGUUGGUGAGGUAAAGGCUCACCGAGGCGAUGAUACAUAGCCGACCUGAGAGGGUGAUCGGCCACAUUGGGACUGAGACACGGCCCAAACUCCUACGGGAGGCAGCAGUAGGGAAUCUUCGGCAAUAGACGAAAGUCUGGCCGAGCAACGCCGCGUGAGUGAAGAAGGUUUUCGGAUCGUAAAACUCUGUUGGUAGAGAAGAACGUUGGUGAGAGUGGAAAGCUCAUCAAGUGACGGUAACUACCCAGAAAGGGACGGCUAACUACGUG